rnacentral:lncRNA from 1 species
ACAGAAUAAAGACACCGAUGAAAAGGGAGGGGUGGGAGAAGCUGAACACAGACCACAGGGGGAGCUGCUAGCAGUGCUGCACCCCUUCCCAAACAUGGCCGCUUUUUGAGACUGAACUAGCUGUGGGCUUUGAAGCAAAAGCCCUAUGAAGAAGGCAUAACAAGACUUUACCACAGAGGCUACGAAUAAUACCUUUGAUCCACUGAGCACCUACUCUGUGCCAGCCCCUGGGCAGGAACUGGCAUGCAUGGGCAUGUAUGAUUGCACCAGAAAUAAGUUCUAUCAUUGGCCCUGUUUACUCAUGAACACAUGAAGCUUGCUAUGAAAGUUUAAGACACCCAAGGCCACAAGGCAGUCCCGUGGCCAUGCCAAACCAGCCUGCAGCAGAGCAGGAAUGCCAACCCCAGGUCUGUGCUUGAGCUCCUGUACCUCUGUCUCUGUGGCAGCACGAACAGGUCAGUUGACCCAUCUCACCUCCUCCAGGAAGCCUCGCUGCUCCAGCCCUCCCACACUGCCAGGCCUCCAACCACCAGCCCUGGCUCUUACAACCUGGACAAUCUUGCUUUUUUCUGGCCCUGGAACUUUGCCCGCAAGACCACGCCUCAGGGUGGAAAAUGAAAGAUGCUUAAGGUCACUGCCCCUCCUGUUCUGUACACAAGCCUAAGCUCGGGAGGAAAUAAUUUGAGGUAUCUGGAAGAAGCAGAGAGAGCAGGGCAGCUCUGAAGUCACUGCGAGGCUGUGAGAGGUCAGCCAGCGCUUCAAAGGACCCCAGGACCUUUGCAUAACCCUGGACUGAAUGGGAAGGGAAAGUCCCAGUCAUGACAGAAACGGAAUUUCCCACCAACUCAGUAGGAGGUUUGGGGUUCAGGGUCAGUUUCAUGGCAGUGCAAACAAAAUAAAGAAAAUGUGAUAUUUAUUGCUUACUUAAAUUUGUGGACCAAACUGCCUACCAUGCUAUCCACACUGUUUCCUGCAGGUGGUCAAUGUGGGCUUAAGGGAAAAGUAACUCAUCUUAAUAUUUGCUUAAAUCAAAUGGAAUAUAGAAAGUAAAUAAAUCUGCUGCCAAGCCAUCAAGUAGGGCAUUCUAAACCCAAAAUAAAGAGCCUAUGGACUGUCUGUGGAUUUAGAUUAUGCAUAGUUUUCUGCCACCACUCCCUGUAUUCAAAUCAAUAGUCACAUUUCAUUGCAGACACUUGGAGCUGUCUGGGUUCAAAUCCCAGCUCUGUUGCUUAUUAGCUGAGACACUUCAGCCAAGGUACUGACACUCUCUGUGCCUCAAUUUCCCCAGCCAUUAAGUAGGAGUCAUAAUUGCAUAACCCCCACAGGGUGGAUGUGACAAUUCAACCGGAUCACAAAAGUGCAUGCUCAGCCUAGUGCCUGGCACACUGUAAGGAUCAAUAAACAGGAGCUAUUAUUAUUAUGCUAAUUUGAAGGAUUCUUGUUUUUAAACGUCCUCAUUUCACAUUGCAGAUACCCAAAUAGAAACACAGAUUUUCAUUUGCUUACAAACCUUCCACUUUUCUCCAGCUAGAAGUUACAGGUGGCCCCUAUGGGUGAAUGUGUUAGGUAACACUCACACUUUAAGCAAGGGGAAAUGCAGGCCCAGAGAGAGU